UGGGGAAUUUUCCGCAAUGGGCGAAAGCCUGACGGAGCAACGCCGCGUGAGGGACGAAGGCCUCUGGGCUGUAAACCUCUUUUCUCAAGGAAGAAGAUAUGACGGUACUUGAGGAAUAAGCCACGGCUAAUUCCGUGCCAGCAGCCGCGGUAAUACGGGAGUGGCAAGCGUUAUCCGGAAUUAUUGGGCGUAAAGCGUCCGCAGGCGGCUUUUCAAGUCUGCUGUUAAAGCGUGGAGCUUAACUCCAUCAUGGCAGUGGAAACUGAAAGGCUUGAGUAUGGUAGGGGCAGAGGGAAUUCCCGGUGUAGCGGUGAAAUGCGUAGAUAUCGGGAAGAACACCAGUGGCGAAGGCGCUCUGCUGGGCCAUUACUGACGCUCAUGGACGAAAGCCAGGGGAGCGAAAGGGAUUAGAUACCCCUGUAGUCCUGGCCGUAAACGAUGAACACUAGGUGUCGGGGGAAUCGACCCCUUCGGUGUCGUAGCUAACGCG
rnacentral:rRNA from 1 species